UUCUUGGGUCUGAAUCGGAGGUGGAGACGAAAGCCAGCACACCCUGCCGACCCCUGGUCUAAGCACUGCAGACUGCAGAAAGAUGCACUGGGCCAGUGGUCCUCACUCCUGGUCCUGGAGAGCCGCAGGGUGUGCUGGGGUCCUCACUCCUGGUCCUGGAGAGCCGCAGGGUGUGCUGGGGUCCUCACUCCUGGUCCUGGAGAGCCGCAGGGUGUGCUGGGGUCCUCACUCCUGGUCCUGGAGAGCAGCAGGGUGUGCUGGGGUCCUCACUCCUGGUCCUGGAGAGCAGCAGGGUGUGUUCAAAUCAGCAACCAAUUCAGACCAAAGAAACCAGUCACAGACUGGGCUUCGGAGGACAGGAUCCCAUCUGUUUCACUCGUGUAUACGUCAUAUCCUGGAAGCUGGCGCUGGGACUUCUGCUGCAGCUUGUCUUUAAUGCCGUCUUACCGCUGAACACUCCUGAUCAUAGUAAUGUAUGACAUGGGCAAGGCUUCAAGCUGUGAGCCAGGAUCAAACCUGUGCUUUUACCAAAAUGUAAUGAAUGUAAUAAUAUUAUGUUACAUAUGUGCAAACUAUAAAGAUAAUACAUACAUCUGAUCAUGGCUAUACUUUGUGUAUUUGCCCAUAUUUCGUGCAGUGUAAUAGAUUGAUAAUAUAUUGUAUUGUACUUGGUUGAGACUUGUGAAGUAAAUCCAGGUCCUUUACUGGUGUUCUCCCCUCUGCGUGGUGUUACAUUAGAAAAAGACUCUGGCGGUAACACAGAUUAAUCUUUUCACAGUCUGUGUCUGGUGUUAAUUCAUCAAGUGUGAACAGGGGGUAUCGAUUCCCAGAAUGUGAAGCCUACUGUUAUUUAACAGUGACAUUUCAGAAACUAGUCCACUGUCAUUGUCCUGUCACCAACUGUACAUGACUGUUUCCAGCUACUUCUACAAUAAUAAAAAUUCAACUGUAUUAAUUUUCA